rnacentral:rRNA from 1 species
AUUGAACGCUGGCGGCAGGCCUAACACAUGCAAGUCGAGCGGCAGCGGAAAGUAGCCUGCUACUUUGCCGGCGAGCGGCGGACGGGUGAGUAAUGUCUGGGAAACUGCCUGAUGGAGGGGGAUAACUACUGGAAACGGUAGCUAAUACCGCAUAACGUCGCAAGACCAAAGAGGGGGACCUUCGGGCCUCUUGCCAUCAGAUGUGCCCAGAUGGGAUUAGCUAGUAGGUGGGGUAACGGCUCACCUAGGCGACGAUCCCUAGCUGGUCUGAGAGGAUGACCAGCCACACUGGAACUGAGACACGGUCCAGACUCCUACGGGAGGCAGCAGUGGGGAAUAUUGCACAAUGGGCGCAAGCCUGAUGCAGCCAUGCCGCGUGUAUGAAGAAGGCCUUCGGGUUGUAAAGUACUUUCAGCGGGGAGGAAGGUGUUGAGGUUAAUAACCUCAGCAAUUGACGUUACCCGCAGAAGAAGCACCGGCUAACUCCGUGCCAGCCGCCGCCGUAA